AUGGACAGUGAUGUUCCUGCAAUGGGAUUCUUCCAUGGAUUAAUGCUUGAUGCAAAGAAACAUAUUGUUGUGAUGUUUGAUAAUGAUGAGAGCAAGUACAAAGUUGCUUGGGACAUCAUUGAUAAAAGGUGGGACAGCAAGCUCAAGACUCCUCUCCACUUGGCUGGCUACUAUUUGAAUCCUCACUAUUAUUACCCAAACAAGUCAGAGAUUGAGAAUGAUGGAUCAUUUAGAGCUGCUGUUAUUACAUGCAUUUGCAAGAUGAUUGAGGACGAAGAAACCCAAGACACUGUAAUUGAAGAACUCAACAUGUAUCACGAUCAGCAAGGAUCUUUAGGCCAUGAGAUUGCUAUAAGGCAAAGGAGAAACAAGAAUUUUAAUCCAGCAAAAUGGUGGCUGAACCAUGGCACCAGCACACCAAAGUUGAGAACUUUGGCAUCUAGGAUUCUUAAUUUGACAUGUAGCUCAUCAGCUUGUGAGAGGAACUGGUCAGCUUUCGAAGAGGUUCAUACAAAGAAGCGCAAUAGGCUGCUGCAUGACAGGAUGAGGUUUCUUGUGUUUGUGAAAUUCAACUCUAAACUAUGGAACAAGAGAGAGAACAAAAACAGAGAUCCCAUAGAGAAAGAAGUAGAUGAUGUUCUUGCUGAUUAUGAAAAUGAGUUCAUCACCGGGAAAGAACCAACUGCAGAAGCUGAUGAAGAACAAGAGAAAGCUCAUGAAGAUGCAUCGGAAGAGGCACCAAACAGGGCAUCAUCAUCACAGGGACAAGCCAAAAGGAAGAGGAGUUCUCGUCCUAGGAAGAAAAUCAAGACCGUGAGCCUGCAGUCCUUGAUGGCUAUGCGUGUUGAAACAAUGCCGCAAGUUGCUUCUUCUUCUGAAUCGGAGUCUGAUAAGUCUCCUUCAGAUUCUGGAGAAGAAUAG
rnacentral:rRNA from 1 species